AACGAACGCUGGCGGCAUGCCUAACACAUGCAAGUCGAACGAGACCUUCGGGUCUAGUGGCGCACGGGUGCGUAACGCGGGGGAACCUGCCCUUAGGUUCGGAAUAACUCCCCGAAAGGGGUGCUAAUACCGGAUAAUGUCUUCGGACCAAAGAUUUAUCGCCUUUGGAUGGGCCCGCGUUGGAUUAGCUAGUUGGUAGGGUAAAAGCCUACCAAGGCGACGAUCCAUAGCUGGUCUGAGAGGAUGAUCAGCCACACUGGGACUGAGACACGGCCCAGACUCCUACGAGAGGCAGGAGUGGGGAAUAUUGGAAAAGGGGCGAAAGCCUGAUCCAGCAAUGGCGCGUGAGUGAUGAAGGCCUUAGGGUUGUAAAGCUCUUUUACCCGGGAAGAUAAUGACAGUACCGGGAGAAUAAGCUCCGGCUAACUCCGUG
rnacentral:rRNA from 1 species